GACGAACGCUGGCGGCGUGCUUAACACAUGCAAGUCGAACGGUAAAGCAGAGCUUGCGCUGUGGAUCAGUGGCGAACGGGUGAGUAACACGUGAGUAACCUGCCCUUGUCUCUGGGAUAAGCGUUGGAAACGACGUCUAAUACAGGAUACAACGACUGAAGGCACCUGCUGGUUGUGGAAAGAAUUGGGGUCAUGGAUGGACUCGCGGCUUAUCAGCUUGUUGGUGGGGUAGUGGCUCACCAAGGCGACGACGGGUAGCCGGCCUGAGAGGGUGACCGGCCACACUGGGACUGAGACACGGCCCAGACUCCUACGGGAGGCAGCAGUGGGGAAUAUUGCACAAUGGGCGCAAGCCUGAUGCAGCAACGCCGCGUGCGGGAUGACGGCCUUCGGGUUGUAAACCUCUUUUGGUAGGGAAGAAGCGAAAGUGACGGUACCUGCUGAAAAAGCACCGGCUAACUACGUG
rnacentral:rRNA from 1 species